rnacentral:rRNA from 1 species
AAAUUGAAGAGUUUGAUCAUGGCUCAGAUUGAACGCUGGCGGCAGGCCUAACACAUGCAAGUCGAGCGGUAGCACAGAGAGCUUGCUCUCGGGUGACGAGCGGCGGACGGGUGAGUAAUGUCUGGGAAACUGCCUGAUGGAGGGGGAUAACUACUGGAAACGGUAGCUAAUACCGCAUAACGUCGCAAGACCAAAGUGGGGGACCUUCGGGCCUCAUGCCAUCAGAUGUGCCCAGAUGGGAUUAGCUGGUAGGUGGGGUAACGGCUCACCUAGGCGACGAUCCCUAGCUGGUCUGAGAGGAUGACCAGCCACACUGGAACUGAGACACGGUCCAGACUCCUACGGGAGGCAGCAGUGGGGAAUAUUGCACAAUGGGCGCAAGCCUGAUGCAGCCAUGCCGCGUGUGUGAAGAAGGCCUUCGGGUUGUAAAGCACUUUCAGCGGGGAGGAAGGCGGUGAGGUUAAUAACCUCAUCGAUUGACGUUACCCGCAGAAGAAGCACCGGCUAACUCCGUGCCAGCAGCCGCGGUAAUACGGAGGGUGCAAGCGUUAAUCGGAAUUACUGGGCGUAAAGCGCACGCAGGCGGUCUGUCAAGUCGGAUGUGAAAUCCCCGGGCUCAACCUGGGAACUGCAUUCGAAACUGGCAGGCUAGAGUCUUGUAGAGGGGGGUAGAAUUCCAGGUGUAGCGGUGAAAUGCGUAGAGAUCUGGAGGAAUACCGGUGGCGAAGGCGGCCCCCUGGACAAAGACUGACGCUCAGGUGCGAAAGCGUGGGGAGCAAACAGGAUUAGAUACCCUGGUAGUCCACGCUGUAAACGAUGUCGAUUUGGAGGUUGUGCCCUUGAGGCGUGGCUUCCGGAGCUAACGCGUUAAAUCGACCGCCUGGGGAGUACGGCCGCAAGGUUAAAACUCAAAUGAAUUGACGGGGGCCCGCACAAGCGGUGGAGCAUGUGGUUUAAUUCGAUGCAACGCGAAGAACCUUACCUGGUCUUGACAUCCACAGAACUUUCCAGAGAUGGAUUGGUGCCUUCGGGAACUGUGAGACAGGUGCUGCAUGGCUGUCGUCAGCUCGUGUUGUGAAAUGUUGGGUUAAGUCCCGCAACGAGCGCAACCCUUAUCCUUUGUUGCCAGCGGUCCGGCCGGGAACUCAAAGGAGACUGCCAGUGAUAAACUGGAGGAAGGUGGGGAUGACGUCAAGUCAUCAUGGCCCUUACGACCAGGGCUACACACGUGCUACAAUGGCAUAUACAAAGAGAAGCGACCUCGCGAGAGCAAGCGGACCUCAUAAAGUAUGUCGUAGUCCGGAUUGGAGUCUGCAACUCGACUCCAUGAAGUCGGAAUCGCUAGUAAUCGUAGAUCAGAAUGCUACGGUGAAUACGUUCCCGGGCCUUGUACACACCGCCCGUCACACCAUGGGAGUGGGUUGCAAAAGAAGUAGGUAGCUUAACCUUCGGGAGGGCGCUUACCACUUUGUGAUUCAUGACUGGGGUGAAGUCGUAACAAGGUAACCGUAGGGGAACCUGCGGUUGGAUCACCUCCUUACCUUAAAGAA